CAGUUCCGGGUCCCCGCAGGGGGGGGGUCCCGGUUUCCUCCGUUCCUGUGGGUGUGUUGGGGGCGCGAAGCAGGGCUAUUUUCCAGAGUCUCAGCAGUAAAAGCAGUAAAAGUCUCAGCACUGCGGUCGGAGCUUCUCCUCUUCCCGCAAAAUGGCGGCAGCUCCGCUGACUUCCAGAACUUUCCCCAAUCUGCGCAGGCGCCGAAACAUUUAGGCGGUGGAACUAAUCUCACUGGUUUCGCGGUAACAGUCCAAAGUGACUUGAGGAGGGCGGAGAAUGUAGGCAAAGAACCAGCGGGAACAAGGCUUCCUACCCAGUUCCGGAGCUGCAGGCCAACGCGGCCGGGUAGAGCCUACGAGGAGUUUCAGAUUCCUCCUCUACAAAAUGGAGAAUUGGACACUGAGGACUUCAAACUCUAACCUUGUGAUUUUAUUAAACAAAAUAGGUGACUUCUUACUGGAGACGCCUGGAUGGUUCCAGUUUCCCUCCCAAGAUGUAGCAAAGGAGCUGGCGGUGCAACAGCUCAGAAAAGUGGAAGCUGGCUUCAUUCUCCACUCCAUCUUUCUCCAUACUGGCAAAGUUUCCUCCCCAGAGAAAAGCCUAAUCACAGGUCCUAAUGUACAAGACCUCUAUGCAGCUGGUCAGAGAGGCCUACAGCCAGGAGCCCAAGAGUGAACAUUAAGCUUCCUGAAUAGGGAACAAAGUUAGGGCCCUUUGAGUCUUGGAUAAGGGCACAGAUCUGAAUAUGCCUAGGUUUAAGUAAAGUGUGGGAAAGCAGAGGCAGGGGGCAGCAGGGUUGAAGCAGGAAAAGGCUAUAACUUCACUUUAUUUGUAUUUCCUCCCACACAAAACCAUCAAAACAUGAACAGAGAUGGGCAGGGAAAGGGCUGAAAAUUUGUUUAAUCCACAUGUUUUCGGGGAGCACUAUUCCAGGGAGCGCUUGAGGCCAAAUGCCUGUUGGAGUAGCUUCAGAUCCAGCACUAAUUCCUCCCACCCUGGCCUGAAGUCUUCACAGAUUGGUGGCUCGAGCCCUGCAAUUAAUUCUCAUCCUUUGCCCACCUUGACGUAAGGCAGCAAACAGACUGAAAUGCUCCACUCUGAUGGGCAAGGGGAAUCACAGCCCACAGAGGUACUGCACUCUCUGUGCUACAGGAGCAGAGCUUGAAGCUGCUUCCAAGGCUCUCAACACUUGUAGGCAGGGCUAGAGGCCGAUGGUAUAUGAGCGGCCUGUGGGAUUGUGAAUAGCAGAACAGACCGGUGCUGUCACAGCCCACUCAUACCACACCUUCUUGGAAUUGCUGCAUCGCCAGAAACUCACACAGAUGGUCUGGCCUUCACGUACCGUAAUGGGCUGCUGUAAGAAGAAAGACAGGGAGGUUCAGGGUAGAGCUAAUGAAUUGUAUGUGGCAAUGUACUACUGAGCUAAGGGUGGAGAGAAAAGAUAAAAUGUGACAUUCCAACCCUCA